GGUUAGCGGCGGACGGGUGAGUAACACGUAGGCAACCUGCCUGCAAGACCGGGAUAACCCACGGAAACGUGAGCUAAUACCGGAUAUCUCAUUUCCUCUCCUGGGGAGAUGACGAAAGACGGAGCAAUCUGUCACUUGCAGAUGGGCCUGCGGCGCAUUAGCUAGUUGGUGAGGUAACGGCUCACCAAGGCGACGAUGCGUAGCCGACCUGAGAGGGUGAACGGCCACACUGGGACUGAGACACGGCCCAGACUCCUACGGGAGGCAGCAGUAGGGAAUCUUCCGCAAUGGGCGAAAGCCUGACGGAGCAACGCCGCGUGAGUGAUGAAGGUUUUCGGAUCGUAAAGCUCUGUUGCCAGGGAAGAACGUCCGAUAGAGUAACUGCUAUCGGAGUGACGGUACCUGAGAAGAAAGCCCCGGCUAACUACGUGCCAGCAGCCGCGGUAAUACGUAGGGGGCAAGCGUUGUCCGGAAUUAUUGGGCGUAAAGCGCGCGCAGGCGGUCAUUUAAGUCUGGUGUUUAAGGCCAAGGCUCAACCUUGGUUCGCACUGGAAACUGGGUGACUUGAGUGCAGAAGAGGAGAGUGGAAUUCCACGUGUAGCGGUGAAAUGCGUAGAUAUGUGGAGGAACACCAGUGGCGA
rnacentral:rRNA from 1 species